GAAUAUUGGGCAAUGAAAGCAAUUUUGACCCAGCAAUCCUAAAUGAGGGAAGAAGACUAUAUCGUUGUAAACCUUAAUGCGUAAGAAAGAUUAUGACUGUACUUACGUAAGUAGUGGGGGCUAAUUCCGUGCCAGCAGCCGCGGUAAUACGGAAUCCACGAGCAUUAUUCGAUAUUAAUUGGCGUAAAGGGUCCGUAGGCUGUCAAUAAAGCUAAAUGUGAAAUGCCAGAGCUUAACUUUGGAACGUCGUUUAGAACUAAUUGACUUGAGAGAUAAAGAGGAUAAUGGAAUUUUUAAUGGAGAGAUAAAAUGCUAAGAUAUUAAAAGGAACAUCAAAGGCGAAAGCAAUUAUCUGGUUAUUUUCUGACGCUGAGGGACGAAAGCGUAGGUAGCGAAUAGGAUUAGAUACCCUAGUAGUCUACGCCGUGACCGAUGAGUGCUAAACGUUAAAUUUUUUUAUUUACCUAUUUAAAAAAAAAUUAUAGUGUUACAGCUAACGCAUUAAGCACUCCGCCUGAGGAGUACGGUCGCAAGACUAAAACUCAAAGGAAUAGACGGGAGCCUACACAAGCGGUGGAGCAUGCGGUUUAAUGCGAUGAUACGCGCGAAACCUUACCAAUUCUUGCAUAUUUCUGUUGAAUUUAUAAUGUCAUGUUAUAAAAGAGGUUAUACAGGUGUUGCAUGGUUGUCGUCAGUUCGUGUUUUGAAAUGUUUGGUUAAGUCCUGUAACGAACGCAACUCUUAUUUCUAGUUAUUUAUAUACGUAAUUAUUUCUGUUUUAUAAAUACGUAUCUAUGUUUUAGGAAAACUGCCUGUGACAAACAGGAGGAAGGUGAGAAUGACGUCAAAUCUUCAUGGCCCUUAUGAAUUGGGCUACUCGUGUGCUACAAUGGCAAUCACAAUAAGAAGCGACGAUGUAAAUCGGAGCGAAUCUCUAAAAAUUGUCUCAGUUCGAAUUAUAGACUGCAACUCGUCUAUAUGAAGUUGGAAUCGCUAGUAAUCGCAGAUCAGUACGCUGCGGUGAAUUUGUACCUAGGCUUUGUACUCACCGCCCGUCAUAUCGAGGAAAUUGAUUAAAUCAAAAGUUUUAUUAAAUAUUAAUGACUAUCGAAUGUCUAUUAUGUUAUUAAUUUUAUUU
rnacentral:rRNA from 1 species